GACAAACCCAAAGAGAUACACCUGUCCGAUUACUCUCUCUUUUACUUCCUUCUUCUGCAUUAUUCCUCUGCUGUUUGAUUUUCUUUCUUCUCCUUCUUCCUCUGUUGAUUAUUGGUCUCUUCUGUUUCUUUGUAUUAUUGUUUUUUUGAUGUUACUUCUUUGCAUCCGGGAAGUGUUGCAUGAGGUUCUACCUGGAAGCGCUGUUCACUUUGUUACUGGAUUUUUGAAGUCAAUGGAUGGCUUAAAAUUGUGAUUACCAAGAAUAAGUAUGCCUUUUCUACUUGAUUCGUCGAACACUUAACUCUGUUGGAUAGAUAUUAGAGCUACCAUUCUUUAAGCUCGCUGGUAUAGAGAAGAAGAGUUGUUUAAUUGGAGUCUUGAGAGGAAACGGAACUAGAAAGCUCGACGAAAGGGAUAAGCUGUAUGAAUUUUCAGAAUAUCCUUAUCCACGAAGGGAAAGAACUAAAAGACACUAUCAUACACAGCUUUGAAGAUGUAUUGGGAGUUUAUGAACAAGGAGCUCCGGGUUUUCUUAAGCAUCCAAUGCAACACGUUGUGAGAGGUAAUUGACUUUAGCUAGACACCCCUCUGUAAUUAUUCCUUUGCGUUGCGUUUUCCUAAAAUUGUACGUUGUAGAAACAGAGAAGCAAGCUUGGAUGUCAGAUGAAGAAUUUGGAAGACAGAUGCUAGCUGGAUUAAAUUCCAUGUGCAUUCUGAGCUCAUCUUUAUUUAAAGCAUUAACAAAUUUGAAAUUUGGUUCGACAUAUGGGUGGAGAGGUCCAAAGUGUUCACUUUGAAAAAGUUUAAAAUCUGUUGAUUUUGAUAUCAAGAAAGAGAAUUAGUUUAGUUUUUCCCUUGCAGAUUACUGUAAUUGGGCCCAUGCUGGCACGAGCUGCUUUUAGAACGUGAUUUACUUUUUGCCGCUAAACUAAGCAGAAAUAUUUCAGUGAAAGGGCUUCUUAAAUCUUUACAGAUUCUAUUUGCAAGGUAAAAAGUUGAUGUGUUGUCCCAUCUAUGCUGCUACAUGUUAAUAGAAGGGUCUUGUAACUGAAAAAUUACUUUUUGAGCUAAUUUAAAUUUUCUGCUCUCACAUCAAGGUUUAUAGAGUGGGGAUGGAACAUGAUCUUUUAUUUAAAGCAUUCUAUUUUAUGAGAUCUUUAUAGUAACUAUGAGAUUAUUCGUGUCUGUGCAUUUAAAUCAACUCAACUGAUUUUUCAUUUGUCUUUUUAUUUCAUAUUUACCUGAUUUCGUAUAUUCUUUAAUGAAGUUCUUUAUUUCAUUUUCAUUUGGUGCCUAUUCUUUGGAUUGUUACUGACAUAUUUUGUCCUUUGAUGGUUUCCUUUCUGCCCUGUUAUUUUAGUAGCUUCUACUGCAAGAGAAAAGAAAGCUGGAUGAGGGAUUGAAAAAAUUGAGCGAACUUAUAAUAUGCCUUCAGCUAAGAAGCUUCUUGAAAUCCUAUUAGCUGGCGUUGGUCGUUGUAGAAGAACUGAGGAUUGGGCUGGAGACUUCAUCUUUAUGCAAGAAGAUGAAGGCGAGUAAUUACAUUUUGGCUGGACUCAACAACACUGCCCAAAAAAUCAACUUCGGGUUCAUAUGGAGCGAAAUCCUUCUAACAUGGCAAUAGAUUUAGUUAUUCCCGCACUCAAGAUGAAAAGAUCACGGCUGCUUGACCAUUAUAAGUUUGGUAGCAGACACAAGAUGGGAAAGAAAACCAAUUCAACUCUUUGUCUGGGGCUGAGUUUCAUAAGCAUAUAAUUCCUCGGUAGCUCUUCUUUUGAGAAGACAUAGAGCACAUGUGGAUGUUGCGGGCAAGAAAUGAUGCGCUGUACUUGAACAAGCUUCAGAUGAGGUGUGCUCAAAUUUGUGAAGUUAGCUGCUCCUGAUGCUUCUUUAGUUCCUUGUUCUCUUUUCAAAUGAUUGUGUCUACCAUAUAAUCUACAUAAGUGAGCAGUUUAUUGAAAGGAAGGACCAAGGACUGCACUUUUGCUGGGCAUCAUUUGCGAGCUAGAUUCAGGUGAUAAAGAAAGGCCAGACAUGUUAAUUUGCAAGAUAAUGACUACCUUGGUAGUGGCAGUUUGGUGCAGCGAUAGACUAAAACUUAUGUUUUAUAUGAUUUGUUUUUUGGCAGCUAUGCAACAUGUGGUUUUCCACAGCAACAUCAAUGUUGAAAUACCAGAAGCUUACUAGGUACUAUUUUUUCCUAUGUAUUUCAGAAACGUGAUUGUAUCCUUUUAGUCGUUAAGUCUGGUGGACAUUUCAUUUCAUGGAAAACAGCUCUGUUGCAGUGUGAAAAAGUGCAUUAACCUCAGUCUUUUUAAUUUGGAGCUGUGGACUGUUUCAUAGGAAGCUUUCACUAAAACGUUUUCAUCUUUCUACCUUUUGCAAACCUAUUUUUUUUACUACGGUAAUUUUAUUUUGAUUCACUAAAUUGAAAAUUUCAAGUCUAGAGUAGUAAUCUAGAUGAAAGGAUAGAAACUGCAGCUAUAACAUGCUUUUUAUUUGGCAAGAGAAUCGAGUUUUGCCUUCUAUGUAGAGUUUUUGGACUCAGAGAAUCCAAAAAUGCUUUGAUAGAACAGAGCGAAACACCUGCCGCUGUUAAGUCGUAAAUGUAUUCAGAACUUAAAGAGUAUAGUAUAAUGCUGAUUUUUUCUAUUGACACUUUUGUAAUGUUAAAUUUUCUGGAAUCCUUUCAUACCUAAAGGAUUCCUUUUUGCCUAUGCUUUCUUCAGUACCAGCUUGACAUUUGAUUGUUGUUUUGCAUUAAAAAUAUAUCUUAUAAAAAGCUAUAUGUUCUCUUAAACGCACUAACAGAAAGGAUUGUGCUUCUCAACUUUGUCCAAGUAACUUUUAAUAUGUAGCAUGUCUAUCUCUUUUAGUGCAGGCACCAAAAAGUUGCAUAUGAUCUGCGUUUGAACCUUACGGUCUCAUUAAGUAGUCUUUUAAUGCUCAAUAUGAUUGUAUUACUUGUAACCUGUACCAAUUCUUAUCUAACUUUGUAUGCUUUCUCCUCUUUUCCCGUUAAUACCCAGAUGCAAUUUCUAUAGCCAACUACAGCUGCUUGAAUCCAGAUUGUACCCCUUGCACCAAGAACAUCAAGAAUUUCACAGCUUUUCUCUUUCUAGCAAGCUUGAUAAUGUAAUACUAUAACUUUGUUCCGCACAAUAUGAAGCAUAUUAUAUUAUGAGUAUUAUUUAACUUGA